rnacentral:tRNA from 1 species
GCGCCCGUAGCUCAGUUGGAUAGAGCAUCAGCCUUCUAAGCUGAGGGUCCCCGGUUCGAAUCCGGGCGGGCGCGCCA